AUUAUUAUUCAUGCCCUCUGAUGCCCUCUGACCGCUGUUUAUUUUAACUAGCUCCCUAUCCUUCCCACAGAGUUGCCUGGCGCUUUAUUGUACUGUGGACUGGCGACGGUUUGUUGGUUACUGCUGUUCGGUUGGUGGGGACUCGAUCAGACACAGCAGACACAUCAGUGCUUCAAGCAUGUAAUUCGUCUUGGAUUCUCUCGGAGGAAAUUCAAGAAAACAAAAACCAAAAAAGAAAAAAGAAGAAAAGUGAUGGCGCUGCCUACGUUCGUUCGCCUGAGGUAGCUGCUGCAUGAUUGAUUGAUUAUAUCGGUUUCUUCUAAGGACACAAGGCAUCAAUAGAGUAAUGAUAAUGCAUCACUAACACAAACUCGCUGCCUCAAGUUUCUCAUGCCUUGAUUGAAGUUACGGGAAAAUAAUAGAGAAAUAAAAUAAAUAGUCAACCCUUUUGUUUUUAAAGAAAAUACCUAGCUACAGCUAGCCCUAGCUUAGAUCCAGCUAAACGCUUUUGUUUCAUUGCCUUCAAGAUGUCAAUAUGUAUAUACGUAUGUCUGGUAAAUAAAGUAAUGAUGAUAAUAAUAAUAAUAAAUAGAGCAGAAAAAAGAAAGAAAGAAAGACAACUAGCAAAAUGACCAAUGAAGAAAAGCGUCCAUAAUCCAUAGCGAGAACAUCAGAGGGGAAAAAAGGAGGAUACUGGCCAACGAACAACCCAGUUAUAAAUUGAAAAAAAAUUAAUAACAAAAUAAAAAUGGAAAAAGAAAUAGAAUAGAGCAAUGGCUUAACAACACACCUCCUCUCUCCAUCGCCGUCUGUCUGUAUCAAAAAUAAUAAUAGGCCGCGAGAGGAAAGAAACAGAUGAGCAAAGGCAAGAAGAGAGAAACUGGAUAAGAAUAAGAAUAAUAUUACAGCAAAAGACCACAGAAAAGGGAAAUGAAAGAAGGAUAGAUGAAAAUAUGAAGAAUUGUGUAAGGGUGUUUUGUGUUUAAAAAAAAUUACAGGGAUAUAUAACCGACUCAAAAAGGAGGGUAAAACAAAUAAAUAAAAAUAAAGACAGCUGUGCUUGCUGAAAAAAGAAAACGAACAGAAAUAACAAUA
rnacentral:sRNA from 1 species